GUAGUCUUGGCCCUAAACUAUGAUCACUAGGUGUCGGGGGGUUUCCCUCGGUGCCGCAGCUAACGCAUUAAGUGAUCCGCCUGGGGACUACGGCCGCAAGGUUGAAACUCAAAGGAAUUGGCGGGGGCCCGCACAAGCGGUGGAGCAUAUUGCUUAAUUCGAUGCAACGCGAAGAACCUUACCCAGGCUUGACAUGACACUGCAAGCUCCCGAAACGGAGUCGCCUUCGAGGGUGUGUCACAGGUGGUGCAUGGCUGUCGUCAGCUCGUGUUGUGAAAUGUUGGGUUAAGUCCCGCAACGAGCGCAACCCUCAUGUUAUGUUGCCAGCGAGUAAUGUCGGGAACUCAUGACAAACUGCCCUUGUAAGAGGGA
rnacentral:rRNA from 1 species